AGAUGGGAGCUUGCUCCCUGAUGUUAGCGGCGGACGGGUGAGUAACACGUGGGUAACCUGCCUGUAAGACUGGGAUAACUCCGGGAAACCGGGGCUAAUACCGGAUGGUUGUUUGAACCGCAUGGUUCAAACAUAAAAGGUGGCUUCGGCUACCACUUACAGAUGGACCCGCGGCGCAUUAGCUAGUUGGUGAGGUAACGGCUCACCAAGGCAACGAUGCGUAGCCGACCUGAGAGGGUGAUCGGCCACACUGGGACUGAGACACGGCCCAGACUCCUACGGGAGGCAGCAGUAGGGAAUCUUCCGCAAUGGACGAAAGUCUGACGGAGCAACGCCGCGUGAGUGAUGAAGGUUUUCGGAUCGUAAAGCUCUGUUGUUAGGGAAGAACAAGUACCGUUCGAAUAGGGCGGUACCUUGACGGUACCUAACCAGAAAGCCACGGCUAACUACGUGCCAGCAGCCGCGGUAAUACGUAGGUGGCAAGCGUUGUCCGGAAUUAUUGGGCGUAAAGGGCUCGCAGGCGGUUUCUUAAGUCUGAUGUGAAAGCCCCCGGCUCAACCGGGGAGGGUCAUUGGAAACUGGGGAACUUGAGUGCAGAAGAGGAGAGUGGAAUUCCACGUGUAGCGGUGAAAUGCGUAGAGAUGUGGAGGAACACCAGUGGCGAAGGCGACUCUCUGGUCUGUAACUGACGCUGAGGAGCGAAAGCGUGGGGAGCGAACAGGAUUAGAUACCCUGGUAGUCCACGCCGUAAACGAUGAGUGCUAAGUGUUAGGGGGUUUCCGCCCCUUAGUGCUGCAGCUAACGCAUU
rnacentral:rRNA from 1 species